UGCGUAGGCGGCUUGGCGAGUCAGUUGUGAAAACUAUGGGCUCAACCCAUAGCCUGCAAUUGAAACUGCUGGGCUUGAGUGAAGUAGAGGUAGGUGGAAUUCCCGGUGUAGCGGUGAAAUGCGUAGAGAUCGGGAGGAACACCAGUGGCGAAGGCGACCUACUGGGCUUUAACUGACGCUGAGGCACGAAAGCAUGGGUAGCAAACA
rnacentral:rRNA from 1 species